GAUGAACGCUGGCGGCGUGCCUAAUACAUGCCAGUCGAGCGAACAGAUGAGGAGCUUGCUCCUCUGACGUUAGCGGCGGACGGGUGAGUAACACGUGGAUAACCUACCUAUAAGACUGGGAUAACUUCGGGAAACCGGAGCUAAUACCGGACAAUAUAUUGAACCGCAUGGUUCAAUAGUGAAAGACGGUUUUGCUGUCACUUAUAGAUGGAUCCGCGCCGCAUUAGCUAGUUGGUAAGGUAACGGCUUACCAAGGCAACGAUGCGUAGCCGACCUGAGAGGGUGAUCGGCCACACUGGAACUGAGACACGGUCCAGACUCCUACGGGAGGCAGCAGUAGGGAAUCUUCCGCAAUGGGCGAAAGCCUGACGGAGCAACGCCGCGUGAGUGAUGAAGGUCUUCGGAUCGUAAAACUCUGUUAUUAGGGAAGAACAAAUGUGUAAGUAACUAUGCACGUCUUGACGGUACCUAAUCAGAAAGCCACGGCUAACUACGUG
rnacentral:rRNA from 1 species